CCCAGGUCAGGCGGGGCUACCCGCUGAGUUAAAGCAUA
rnacentral:rRNA from 1 species